UCCGCUUUACAGCGGCAGUUUGUUCCGAGUCCCCGGCUUUAUCCGCUGGUAACAGAACAUGAGGGUUGCGCUCGUUGCGGGACUUAACCCAACAUUUCACAACACGAGCUGACGACAGCCAUGCACCACCUGUGCACCACCCUCGCAGGCGACGGUCUUUCAACCGCUUGCAGGUGCAUGUCAAGCCCUGGUAAGGUUCUUCGCGUUGCAUCGAAUUAAGCCACAUGCUCCACCGCUUGUGCGGGCCCCCGCCAAUUCCUUUGAGUUUCAACCUUGCGGCCGUAGUCCCCAGGCGGUUCACUUAAUGCGUUAGCUGCGGCACCGAGGUAGAAACCCCGACACCUAGUGAACAUCGUUUAUGGCCAAGACUAC
rnacentral:misc_RNA from 1 species